rnacentral:sRNA from 1 species
CCCCGGCAACGACCCGAAGGGCGAAGCGCGCAGCGCUGAGUCAUCCUUCCCCCACCACCA